CCGUACCCAUCAGAGGGGGAUAACACUUGGAAACAGGUGCUAAUACCGCAUAACAGUUUAUGCCGCAUGGCAUAAGAGUGAAAGGCGCUUUCGGGUGUCGCUGAUGGAUGGACCCGCGGUGCAUUAGCUAGUUGGUGAGGUAACGGCUCACCAAGGCCACGAUGCAUAGCCGACCUGAGAGGGUGAUCGGCCACACUGGGACUGAGACACGGUCCAG
rnacentral:rRNA from 1 species